UACGUAGGGUGCAAGCGUUGUCCGGAAUUAUUGGGCGUAAAGAGCUCGUAGGCGGUUUGUUGCGUCGGCUGUGAAAGCCCGAGGCUCAACCUCGGGUCUGCAGUCGAUACGAGCAAACUAGAGUGUUGCAGGGGAGACUGGAAUUCCUGGUGUAGCGGUGAAAUGCGCAGAUAUCAGGAGGAACACCGGUGGCGAAGGCGGGUCUCUGGGCAACAACUGACGCUGAGGAGCGAAAGCGUGGGGAGCGAACAGG
rnacentral:rRNA from 1 species